rnacentral:rRNA from 1 species
AUUGGAAGGGGUGUAUUUAUUAGAUUAAAAACCAAUGCCCUUCGGGGCUCACUGGUGAUUCAUGAUAACUCCUCGAAUCGCAUGGCCUUGUGCCGGCGAUGGUUCAUUCAAAUUUCUUCCCUAUCAACUUUCGAUGUUUGGGUAUUGGCCAAACAUGGUUGCAACGGGUAACGGAGGGUUAGGGCUCGACCCCGGAGAAGGAGCCUGAGAAACGGCUACUACAUCCAAGGAAGGCAGCAGGCGCGCAAAUUACCCAAUCCCGACACGGGGAGGUAGUGACAAUAAAUACUGAUACAGGGCUCUUUUGGGUCUUGUAAUUGGAAUGAGUACAAUUUAAAUCCCUUAACGAGGAACAAUUGGAGGGCAAGUCUGGUGCCAGCGGCCGCGGUAAUUCCAGCUCCAAUAGCGUAUAUUAAAGUUGUUGUGGUUAAAAAGCUCGUAGUUGAACCUUGGGCCUGGCUGGCCGGUCCGCCUCACCGCGUGUACUGGUCCGGCCGGGCCUUUCCCUCUGUGGAACCCCAUGCCCUUCACUGGGUGUGGCGGGGAACCAGGACUUUUAC